GACGAACGCUGGCGGCGUACCUAAUACAUGCAAGUCGAGCGGACUUUCAAGAAGCUUGCUUUUUGAAAGUUAGCGGCGGACGGGUGAGUAACACGUGGGCAACCUGCCUGUAAGACGGGGAUGACUCCGGGAAACCGGGGCUAAUACCGGAUAAUAUCUUUCUUCGCAUGAAGGAAGGUUGAAAGGCGGCGCAAGCUGCCGCUUGCAGAUGGGCCCGCGGCGCAUUAGCUAGUUGGUGAGGUAACGGCUCACCAAGGCGACGAUGCGUAGCCGACCUGGGAGGGUGAUCGGCCACACUGGGACUGAGACACGGCCCAGACUCCUACGGGAGGCAGCAGUAGGGAAUCUUCCGCAAUGGACGAAAGUCUGACGGAGCAACGCCGCGUGAGCGAAGAAGGUCUUCGGAUCGUAAAGCUCUGUUGUCAGGGAAGAACAAGUACCGUUCGAAUAGGGCGGUACCUUGACGGUACCUGACCAGAAAGCCACGGCUAACUACGUGCCAGCCGCCGCCGUAA
rnacentral:rRNA from 1 species